AGUGAACGCUGGCGGUAGGCCUAACACAUGCAAGUCGAACGGCAGCACAGUAAGAGCUUGCUCUUACGGGUGGCGAGUGGCGGACGGGUGAGGAAUACAUCGGAAUCUACUUUUUCGUGGGGGAUAACGUAGGGAAACUUACGCUAAUACCGCAUACGACCUACGGGUGAAAGCAGGGGAUCUUCGGACCUUGCGCGAUUGAAUGAGCCGAUGUCGGAUUAGCUAGUUGGCGGGGUAAAGGCCCACCAAGGCGACGAUCCGUAGCUGGUCUGAGAGGAUGAUCCGCCAACACGGAAAUGAGACACGGUCCAGAAUCCUACGGGAGGCAGCAGUGGGGAAUAUUUGACAAUGGGGGGAAGCCUGAUCCAGCCAUACCGGGUGGGUGAAGGAGGCCUUCGGGUUGUAAAGCCCUUUUGUUGGGAAAGAAAAGCAGCAGGUUAAUACCCCGCUGUUCUGACGGUACCCAAAGAAUAAGCACCGGCUAACUUCGUG
rnacentral:rRNA from 1 species